AAUGAACGUUGGCGGCGUGGAUUAGGCAUGCAAGUCGAGCGGUAAGGCUCCUUCGGGAGUACACGAGCGGCGAAAGGGAGAGUAACGCGUGGAUUAUCUACCCUGGGGUCCGGAAUAGCUGCGGGAAACUGCAGGUAAUGCCGGAUAAUAUCUACGGAUCAAAGGUGUGAUUCCGCCCUUGGAGGAGUCCGCGUCCUAUUAGCUUGUUGGUGGGGUAAUGGCCUACCAAGGCGACGAUGGGUACCGGGUGUGAGAGCAUGACCGGCUCACUGGGACUGAGACACUGCCCAGACACCUACGGGUGGCUGCAGUCGAGAAUCUUCGGCAAUGGGCGCAAGCCUGACCGAGCGACGCCGCGUGUGGGAUGAAGGCCUUCGGGUUGUAAACCACUGUCGUAGAGGAGGAAAUGCAUUGGGGUUCUCCCCAGUGUUUGACCUAUUCUAGGAGGAAGGACGGGCUAAGUUCGUGCCAGCAGCCGCCGCGG
rnacentral:rRNA from 1 species